rnacentral:lncRNA from 1 species
AGCCUUUUUUGGUUGUUGUUCUUGGUGAUGUUACUGUCAGAAUGCGGUUAAUCCCGAGAGCCACCGAGACAAAAAGCUGUGUGGACACAACUGUGAGUCAGUUGGGGGGAGGGGGCGUGAUGGGAGAAAUGUGAGCAUUCGUCACUUUUCUCUGGGAACCUCUUCCUAGAGCAAAAAAGACAUAAAUAGCAUGGAGUUGAAGUAUAACUGAUGUGAAUUUAUAUUUAUGUAGACAAUAGUUUUCAAGAGAUCAGAUUAGACCUUGCAUAUUUGUUCUUGAGAAAUUUUGCAAGGCAGCAUUUGAGAACAAAUGGGAAAAUCUCUCUGAGGACCCGAGAAGCCAUCGAUGUUCUUUCUUGUUUUUGUUUCACUGGGUGAGCUGUGCAAACUUCAGUGCUGCUGAAGUUUUUGGGAUAAACUUGGUGUGGCAAGUGUCACUGCUCCGAGGGAGCAGAUGUUGGGAGGAGGGGCGGGGGGGGUGGAUGGCACUGGGGAGGCCUUCCUGGGAGGGGAAGAAAGGGUGCCGAGAAGCCGGAUGAAUGAGCUGGCACAGACAGGAGGCUCUGCAGAGAGGAGGAGAUCUGUAGGGGGAGAUGGGUGACGCCAGAAGUUGAGAGUAGUGACUUUGUCAUCCUGCAGUUCUCAACAAAUAGAACAGAACCCUCAGACAAUGCUCGGAACCAGCUGCCUGAGAAGGCGUGGCAGGAGAAAGUGAAGUCUGUCAUAGCCUCUGGUGCCCAUGGCAACGGGGGCUCCACCCCUCCUUUCUCAACUGUUGCCUACAGGGGACCUUCCAGCUCUGCACCUGACGACUUCCUGUGUCUCCUGCUUGACGCCGCCCUUCAGCAGUCCAGAGCCUACGAGUGCUCUGUAGAGAAAAGGGGACAGACGCUGCUGGAGCAGAGCUGUCCUCACUGUGCGAGGAUCUUGCUUCAGCUCUAAGAUAAUGCGCUACUUAGGGGCAAGAGCGCUUUGCCCUGUUGGUGAGGAGUAUCAGUCCGAGGCCAGAACCAAACCAUAGCAGGAGCGAGUGCCUUCCUAAACUACAGAGCUCGCCUAACAGCACAGACGGAAAGGAAAACGUUUCUGUUUCCCAGAACGAAGUCUCAGGCGAGCUGUGUUCUUGUUUCUUGCUCCUAGACAGCCGGACCUUAACGAGGCUCCAUGUCUUCCCACGGUGUGAGAGGAGCCCAUUCUGCUCCAUCUCCUUUUAGCAUUAGAGGUAGCAAUCUGUAUAGACGGAGGCUUACUUUUGGGCUUCAUUAAAUAAGUCUGAUACAGUUACUGCUGGAAUUUUGAAAAAUUGAUCCCCCUGUCUACUGGCAGAGGUCACCUUAGAGCAGAGCAGGAGGAAGCCUCUCCAGAUCUGAAG